UUCUUGUUUGGAGGUGCAAUAAUCAUCUAUCGUUAUACAUACACACUGAUGAUGAUGAUUAUCAAAUACCUUUAUCCUCGUUUAUCCCAAAUCAAGUUUGAAUUUGCUGAUUUCAGAGAUCUCAAAUCCCAAAUCGCGCCAACCAAUUUAUUAGGGUUAUUUUUUUUAUUCUGAGAAAAACUUAUUAGGGUUUAGACUAACAACUGUUAGAUCUCCUUCAUGUUCUAAAGUUAGGGUUAUAUCAUCUCGUACUAGAUUUGUAGAGUUUAAUAGGUUUUGGGUAUAGUUCAUCAUUUAUUUUUUUAUUUAUUUUUUUUGUAAUUUUUUUUUCCGAUUGAUGAACUUAGGGUUCUUCAUCUCAUCUUCGAUUGAUGGUUGUUCAGCUGCAAGAACACCCACCUUCUCUUGAUUCAACUUUAGAAUUGCAUCCAGGAUUAAAGUUAGGCAAGUGGUGAAAAAUGCUGAUAUUUGGCUUUCAAGCUUAUCUAUGCUUGUAAUUGAGCAGAGGUACCAAUGGGUAAAUUUGGUAGUUUCUUUGUGAACUGGUAAGAGUAAGAGGAAGGGUACCAGAGAAUCUAGGUUUCCUACCAAGGUUAUCUGAAUUAGGAGGAUGUGUAUACUCAGGAGGUUUCUCCGCAAGUACAUGGAGGCAAAGAAGAUUGACAAGCACGUGUACUAUGAUAUGUACUUGAGGCAUGUGUUAAAGAACAAGCGUGUAUUGACGGAAAGUAUUCACAAAUCUAAGGCAGAGAAGGCCAUAGAGAAGACUUUGUUUGACCAGUCUAAGAACAAGGCUAGCAGAGGAAGGAAGCAUGCUGGGUUGAUGUUGUUUUCAGUUAGGCAAGUGGUGAAAACUGCUGAUAUUUGGAUUUCAAGCUUAUCUAUGCUUGUAAUUGAGCAGGUAAGAGUAAGAGGAAGGGUACCAGAGAAUCUAGGUUGCCUACCAAGGUUAUCUGAAUUAGGAGGAUGUGUAUACUUAGGAGGUUUCUCUGCAAGUACAUGGAGGCAAAGAAGAUUCACAAGCACGUGUACCAUGAUAUGUACUUGAGGCAUGUGUUCAAGAAAAAGCGU